rnacentral:rRNA from 1 species
UGGGGAAUUUUGGACAAUGGGUGAAAGCCUGAUCCAGCCAUGCCGCGUGAGUGAAGAAGGCCUUCGGGUUGUAAAGCUCUUUUAGUCGGAAAGAAAGAGUUGCAAUGAAUAAUUGUGAUUUAUGACGGUACCGACAGAAAAAGCACCGGCUAACUACGUGCCAGCAGCCGCGGUAAUACGUAGGGUGCGAGCGUUAAUCGGAAUUACUGGGCGUAAAGGGUGCGCAGGCGGUCUUGCAAGUCAGAUGUGAAAGCCCCGGGCUUAACCUGGGAAUUGCGUUUGAAACUACAAGGCUAGAGUGCAGCAGAGGGGAGUGGAAUUCCAUGUGUAGCAGUGAAAUGCGUAGAGAUGUGGAAGAACACCGAUGGCGAAGGCAGCUCCCUGGGUUGACACUGACGCUCACGCACGAAAGCGUGGGGAGCAAACA